rnacentral:tRNA from 1 species
GGGCCAUUAGCUCAACAGGCAGAGCAGCGGACUUUUAAUCCGCGGGUUCAGGGUUCGAUCCCCUGGUGGCCCACCU